GUGUAUGACCAUAGCAAGACUGGGUACUGCUUUUUUUUAUAGUUGUUUUGGAUGUGAUUUUGUAAUAGGCAUGAAAUCUAAUAGAUCCUGCUAUGGCUGUUUUAUCAAAUCACAUAGAAAUUCCAUUGAUUGGUUCUGCAGAACCUUCUAAAUAGAGACAUAUAACAGCUAUUGUCAAGUACUGCAGUAUUUGGAGAAUAUAUUCACAAUAAGCAUACCUGAAGCUGUCUUUUCUCAUUUCAGCGUUUAAUAUAUGCUAUUACACUAUUCUCUACUGAUGUAAUGAGGUGGCAAAUGCUGUUUUAAAUUUUCUGUCCUGAGUCUUCUGUUGUUGCUAAAAUUUUCCAAAAAUGCCCAGAGAGGACAGGACAGCAGAGGUAGGAACAGAAGUCUUGUGCUCAGAGGCAAUGAGAAAGACAGAUUUAGAAGACCGACAGAUUAGAAAAGCUAGAAAUUAUAUGCAUUAUGAAGCUCAAGCAUUCUUUCUCAUAGGCCUGAUUUAUUAUGAUAAAACUCCUGCCUGUAGGUGAAUUAUUGAAGAGCUAAGAAGGAAAUUACACCAGCAUCAAUUGCUGUGCCCUGAGCUGGAUCUGGCAUCAAUUUCUGUUGUGCACUUCAACAGGAUCCGGUACUAUUUCUCCCAGGGAUUUUCCUCAGAUGGGUGGCACUCCUGAAGAGAAAGAAGCAAUAUGAGCUAGAGAAGGAAUUCCAUGUAUCACGAGCCAUUAGGGCGACUCUUCCAUUUCCUCUACAGAAAAGCUUCCUAACUGGUUGAGCCUUUGUUAUUGUCAAUGAUACCAUUGCAGUCAGAGCUGAAUGUACAUUUCUUUGCAUCUGCAUGAGCCUUAAAAAGUAGAAAAUCUUGCCCCAGGUACCUUAUUCAUGGUAGUGGAGCUCACAAUGUUUUCAUUUCUUCUUAGUAUCAUUUCAUCCAAAAUGAUAGUUUUCAACAGUUAGUUGAUAGUUUUAGAAUUCCACCUAAUAAGAGAAAUGUAAAUUCUCUUGUAUCUUGUAUAAUUACUGGGAAAAUCUAAUGAUGGCAUUGAGUCCUGCUUAUUUCUUGCCUUGUACCAUUUGUUGCAGAGGUAAGAAGUACGGGUGCAGGCAAUUGUGAGACAUAGAUAUGAUACUUGCUUACCAUUAAGAACAUAGUUACUGUUCUGCAUUCAAAACUUGCUUCAUGUUGAAUUUUUUAAUGGGUCUUUCCUAGUCUAUAGAAAAAUGUUCUAAAAGUCUUUGGAGAGAGAGAUUUAUAGAGUAAUGAUGGGCUCCUGUAGAAAUUUCACUCUCCGUGAACUGUCAUUUUCUGACUUUAAAAUAUAUUUUUUGUUGGAAUAUCUUGUUCAGUCUUCAUGAAAUUGGAGACGUGAUUUGGUACUUAAUCUGGUCGUGUGAUGGUUGUCAGCCGUAUUUUAGUGUUGUCAAUUCUUAAUAGAUUGUUCCAUUUUUUUUCACAAAUGCCCUGGAAUUCACAAUGAACUUUUAGAAAGUAGUUUUCUAGAACCUUUUCCUGAUGCUUCUUUUAUGCAAGUGCUUCAUUUUCUCUCUAAGUGGUUCCUACUAGGAAUGUAAUGUCUGCAGGAAAUGUUUCUUUGUCAUGUUCUGCGGUAAAGAUCAAUGCAAAGAAGUCAUUUAUUUUAUCUGUAGUAUCCAUUAUUGAUGCCUGAUCUUUUAGUGGAAUGUCUGAUUCUUUCAUAGGCUUCCUGUGAAAUACACUUAAAUGCCUUGUUUAUUGCCUUUAGCUAAUAGCUUUUAAAAUUCUCCUGGUUUCCUGAGUUAUUUGCUUGGGAUAUAUUUCAUUUUUGAAAGGAUAUGUUGUCAUUUAGCUUCCUGUUUUCCCCUGUUACAUUCUCUCUCAGUGAGAGAAUUCCAUACUUCCAUAGAUUGCCUUGCAGUGUCAUUCAAACUAUUUAUAUUUUACGCUCUUACACUUUUCCAUUCCUUUCCCCUUCCUUUUUUCAAGACUCGUGAGUCUUUCACAAGUUUUAUUUGCAAUGCGUAUUGACUUCCUUUUUCCUCCUGUUUUGAAUCAGCUCAGCUUUUUUGUUUUUCUUUGAGAACUGAGUUAAAACUGAUGUCCCUUUUAUUUUGUUAUUUUCUUUCUGUCCCCUUGCUGUUCCAAGAAGGAGCUGUUCAAGGUCCUGACGUUUUUCAGAGGCGAUCAGCUCCAGGUCUGGCACAUUCAGUGGUGGAACAGGGAAGCCCAGCGAAGUGGGACCCCAGGGUGAGGGAAGACCUGAAUGGAGCUGGUACUAUGUUUUGCUGCUAGAAGUAAAAAAAUAAGACUAUCAGAAUAUAUUCACGUUUUUUGCCUUUUGCUAUAGUCUCUGAUCAUCAUGUGGCCACAGUGGAUUAGUUUUUUUUUCUGUAUUUCAGAUGGGGAAUUACCAAGUUAUACACUCUCCUCUGAGUCUUUCCUCACCUUAUUUUGCAAGAAAAUGUUUGAAGAUUAUUUUCAGUGCAAACCAAAUUCAAGUUUCUGUCUGAUACCGUUUUCAUGUGCUCAUUGCUUUCAAAUUAUAAUUUCUUGUAUUAUCUUUAUAUAUAGAGAUCCUAUUUUGUUAGACAUGGAGAUAAGAUAUUAGAGAAUAAUUCUCUGAAAUGUUUUCCUAAAGCAAUAAGGAUAUAAAUCUAUAUAUAUCAAAUAUAUAUAUCUAUGCAUAUCAAAUUCUUGUGAUUGCUCAAAUUACAAUCUUGAUAUGACUGUACUGCAUAAAUAUGGAAUUUUCCAAAGCAUUCCUUGGUGAUCAAGUCCAUGAAUUCAUGCAGUCUGCUCUCCUAAUAAGCAGGGAGCUGAAACAUGGAAAGUAAUGUAAGGAAGAACUUCUUUACUCUGAGUGCCACAGCCCUGGAGCAGGCUGCCCAGAGAGGUUGUGGAAUCUGCUUCUCUGGAGAUAUACAAGAUCUGCCUGAAUUCCUACCAGUGUGACCUGCUCUAGGGAGCCUGCUUUAGCAGGAGGGUUGGACUCUGUGUUCUCUCAGGUCCCUUCCAGCCCCUACAAUUAUGUGGUUCUGUGAAGUCCUUAUCCUCUGUGUUGUCUGCUAGUUAAAUUUUGGCUGUGGAUACUUCAGGGGCUUUGUUUUGCAUCUCUCUGCCUGACUGUGUGAGAGCUGGAUUACCAAUUAUGUGAAUGUUUUGUUGAACAAACAGUAUUCAGAGCAGUUUUACUUUCUGAUGAAGGAUCAGUUUCAUGUUGAUUCCUUCAUUCCAAAUACAACGUCCUCAUCGGGAGGGGAUGCCAAGGAUGUUUUGAUACGAUUUUCCAUUAUUUACAACUUUUCACUUCUCUUCUGUUAUAAUAGUUUCAAUUUGCAGCUGCUACAUUUGUCUUCUGAGGAUCAAAUAGAUCACUGAGAUAGCAGACUAAAUAGACCUAUCCUUUGCGUAUAGGGUAGUUUCUGUCUGGAUUCAGAUCUAAUUGUCUUUUGAGCAUAUGUUAUGUUUCUUGGUUACAUGUACUGCUGCACUUCUACCUUGGAAAUCUGUUUUUUUAUGGGCUUAUGUUUCUAAUUUCUCCAAGAGAUAAACUGUUUCUAGUGGUUAACCAGUUAUUUAGUGACUUUACUUAAUUUGAGACUGUUACCUAGUACUAUUAAAUUCUAUCAUAAUAUUAAAAUUUGGUGAAGGGGAUAUGUAUGCUGAAUGUCAGUUAUCUUCAAAAAAUUUGUUCCAUCAUUUUAAAAGGGAUCAAAUUUUCAUUUAAAAAUAAGUUACGUUGGCUUUUUGAUUCUUUUCUGCUUCCCAACGAACAAAUAAAACUGCCCUCAGUAUAUGCUCUUUCAUAUCUUCAUCAGUGACAUUGACAGUGGGAUCUAGUUCACCCUGCAUGUGUCUGCAGAUGACACGGAGCUGUGUGGUGUAGUGGAAAUGCUAAGUCACAGCCUGAAGCAGUGAUUGAGCACCUGGUGGGAAGGCAGGCAGGAACCCAUGGGAGCUCAGGUGCAAGCAGUGCAAAUGAGUGACUGGAAGUGCUGGAGCCAGGAUCGACCCCUUCCCAGACUUCAUUGAAGGGUUAGCUGUGGAGGUGAGGGCUUUUCUUGCUGGAGAUCCCUGCCUACCUGAGGCCUUGCAGAGGUAAGCAUCUCUUUUCAUUUAUUUCUGUAUCUGGUUGCUCCAUUUGGGCUUGUUCUCAUUUGCUGCAGCCAAAGACUUUGCCACCCUGCUGUUACUGUGGCACUUUACGUCCCAUUAUAGCAUUACAGGCGUAGUCUACAUGCCUGAGGGAUGGGAUGCCAUUCAGAAAGAUUUAGACAGGCUCAAGCAGCGGGCUCAGGAGAAGAUCAUGAAGUUGAACAAAUCCAGUCCUCUUGUCCUAAAAUGCUAUUUUAAUCUUAGUCUUAGAGCCUUAUUAAUUUCUAUCAACUUCAUACUGCUUUAGCCAUUCUCAUUCUAGGUGAAACAAUCAAGAUUUUGACAAGGUGAAAAAAAUAGUGUGUUUUUUUUUAUUUUUCUGCUUAUCUGAAAUGAUGUGAGCACUGAAAUUUUGAUGAAUCAUUUUUAAUAACCUUUUAAAACUGUAUAUGUAUAUAUAUGGAGAGAUCAUAGUGCAAAGCAAAACUGAAGCAUUGUAGUUGUCUCUUAAUUUUCUCUUAAUUUAAUUUUAGUUGUAGUUGUCUCUUAAUUUUCAUGAUUUGUAAGAUUUUUUUAAAUUAGGAUGCUCUGUAUUCCUUUUUUCCUUCACAGCACAGAGAACACAGGAAAAUCUAGAUCUUACAUUGGUUUUAUCGAUCUGAUUUAUGCAUUUUUUUUUUACUGGAUUUAUAAGUUGUAUUGCAUUGUAUGAUCUCUAAUGGCUCACAGGUUGAAUAACAUUAGGAAGCAUUAAAGACCUGGUUUGAUGUCAAGUUUAAUGCUCUUCCUAAGAGCAAUUUGUAGAGAUUAGGAUUUAGUGAGACAUCACUGGAGGAUUAGCGAUUGCUUCUUAAGGCAUUCUGAGUUGACAGCUAAUGGAUAGCUUUCCCUGAUAGCUCUUUUAUAGUCCAGUGCAGCUGGAUAAAAAUCAAUGAGAAAGUGAACUUAAUUUUGUUUAUCCAUUAAUUUUGGUUUUAACAGAUGAGUUCAGCUGCCUUAGUAACUUGUUUAGUAUAUUGUCCCCAUCUAUCACAAUCUAGAUAACCUCAAUUAACACACUGAUUAAUCCUCAAAUUCUUCUUCACUUGUUCCCUUCUCGACUGCAUGAUGUGAGGGAAACUGUUUGCAGCAGGUCUGAGAGGACAGAGCGUAUAUUCCUGAAUGCCCACAUAAUAAGCAGAUUGGGAAGAAACGUAGCUCCUUUCUCUUGAGGUUUCCUGCCCUCCCUGUGUGUAUAUGAGAACUGUAAUUAAGUUAGUUUCUGUAUUUGCUUUUCUUAAUUUGUUCUACUUUUUGUUGUUAUUUAAAUGUAAAACUAAUAGUUACCUUGAGCUCUAUUAGUAGCUGGGGACUCCAAAGUGCAAUUCAGAUGUCAUCGUGGAAAUACCAAGCAGGAUACAAAAUGGCUUAAUUUUAAAAGAUAAAUGAAUGAAAGUGGAAAAACCCCUACCCCUAGCAGGAUCUAGCUAUGCAGCUUCCUUAGUGGUCCAGGCAGGAUUAAGGACAGAAGGUUUUAGCAAGAAAUUUAUGAAGCUCCUGCAUGUGUAUGCUCAGUGAAUAGCAUUUAGGGAAGGCUUAAUAGAAAAAGAUCUAGGCAGCAAUUUUUUAAAUUCAAGAAAUGAAUGCAUGGGAGAGCUGUUACAGAAGACUAAAAAUAAUCGUUUCUACACUACAAAAAUAUUCUGGUUUAUACUUGUGAAAUUUAACUUUGAAUUAAGAAUGAUCCAGAGUUAUACUUCCUCACCAAGCGAGAGCCUCUAGGCUGCUCUCGUUGCUAGAACCAUUUCUCAUCCUAUCGUUUGAUAAUGCUGCUGCUGUGAUACAGCUAGCAGGGCUACACCUGACAAAUUAGUGUAGAAACAGCUUGAGAAUGUGCAUUUAUUUUUACGGGUUGUGUUUCUGUUUCAUUUGUACGUUUAUUUGUGUCUUGAUAGUGGAUGUUCUUUCAAAUACAGCGUGAACCAGACAGUAAAUAUAAACUCAUUGCAUCUGGGUGAAAUAUCAGUGUGUGGCUCUCAUUGAUCCCGUCUGUUAUCCCACCCAGCCUG
rnacentral:lncRNA from 1 species